UAACUGUUUGUGCUGGUACUUUUCCUUUCUGCCUGUUGGCAUCUGUGUUACUCUAAUGCUUCUAAUAAGAGCACUAGAAGAUCUUCCUUACUUGCUCUAAUACAAGAUAUAAUUGACUGCAUUGGUUGAUCAGGCCAAUAUCUGGAGUUUCCUUAAUUUUAACUUUUGCCCAAAGUCUUCAAUAGGUCUCUAUGGAUCCUCAGAUGGUAAUAUAUAAUCCAUUCUAUCCCUAAAUCACCUCUUGGAUCAUUUUGGAAGGGUUCGUAAGUCAGGUAUAUUUGCUAUUGUUCUGCUGCCUUUCACAAGUAUGUUCAAUAUAUGCUUUACCAGAGAGAUGCCUAAUAAGAUUCCAAAUGAUUCGUACUAUGGUAAAGCAGAAUAAGAUAAUUGUUGCGGACAACAUUAGCAUCCAAAUUAUACUAGCCCUAUCAAUUUUGUCUAUUCAAAGGUUGGUUAUAAUUUCAAUAAGAUACCAUAAAUAGUAAACAGUAUCUUAAGUUUAAAAUUUGUCAAGCCGUUAAUGGGCUUUUUCAGAUUUUUGUUAAUAUAAAUUUAUUAUAAUUUAUCACUUGUUUCAAAUUUAAAUGGAAUAUGACAUAUUUCACAGCAAUGACUGCUGUUAAUUAUUAUUACUUUGGUUCAGGUUGCAGACUAUACCAAUUGUUUUGUUUGAGGAGGUGAAUUAAAGCUCAGCGACUGAGUUUGUCUUUGCCAAAAAUGUUCUCAACACAGCUUCACUGGGAAUUUUACAAGCCACCUGCACACAGGGUAGUAAUGUCUUUUAAUAAAGCCAAUAAAGAAAUGCUAUAGCCCGAACCAAUGAUAAAUGAACCACACUAUUGUCCCAGGAAAAGGGAGAUGAUAGGAAUAAAGUCCAAAUUUAGUUGAGGCAUACUUUUGUUAAAAAAAAAAAAAAAGUUAACUGAGUAAAUUAGAAUAUCUAAUUGAUUUUAUUAAGCAAUUUAUGAAUCCAACAGCAUCACAAAUAGCAAAUAAAGAGAUGCUCUGAGGAGUUGUACAAAUGGAAGGUUUUUAUAAGAGGGAGAAUGGGGCAAGGAAAUUAUCAGCAAAAGAAAAGAAAGUUUAGUCUCAGGCCAGGAAAGCUUCUUUGAAGUGGGGAGGGACCAGCAGGGUUUGUUAUCAUGCAGAUCACCUCACUGGUGCCGAUCAGGAAAUUUCAGAUUGACUUAAUUUUUUUUAAGGAGGCUCCACACCCAGUAUGAAGGCCAGCUUGGGCUUGAACUUAUGACCCUGAAAUCAAGAGUCCGAGGCUUAAUCAACUGAACCACCGAGGUACCCCCAGAUUCACUUUUAAAAGGUCACAUUGUUGGGGCAACUGGUUGGUUCAGUCAGAAGAGCAUGCCACUCUUGAUAUCAGGGUCAUGAGUUAGAGCCCCAUGAUGGGUGUUAGAGAGUACUUUUAAAAAUAAAUAAAAGGCCACAUUCCUGGGAUAGGGUGAAAUUGUAACUAAAUCUUGGUUUGUUGCUGUUGGGGGCAAAGGACUCCAUUUUGGAUUUCUCUUUUUAACACUUUAUAGGAGUUGACACUCAAGAGAGGCUUAGUCAAGUGAAAACUGACAUCCAGAAGUCAGUGCAAUAAAGUUCUGUGUUGCUAGAGCUUGUUGCUAGGGAACAAGGGCACGGGUGUUGUUUAGCAAGAUGAUCUUCCCUACGAUGCUACUUGGCUUUGCCCCUGCUUUUAAGAGAGUUGUCUUUACUGGGGGCAGGAACUAAUUGUCUCAGGGUCUUUGGGAACUAUUUUAAAUCAGCAAAGUUUAUGAUUGCUCAGAGCAAGCAUUCUCCAAUAGUCCCCACAGCUCUCAUUAUUUAUGGUCUCAUGUCUCCUUGACAGUUACAUCAUCUGUUUUCAUUGAUAAGCUGCCAGCCAGGCCCCUCAGCAGCUGAGUUGCUGAGUUUUGAUGGGCAAGAACAGAUGAGAUGAUGAUGUCCUGACACAACUUCCUUCAUUCUUAUAUCAAAACAACUUUACCUCUGAAAACAGUUUGUCCUUCUCAUAAACAAGUGGACUUGACAUCAUACCAAACCAAUACACAACAUAGGCAGAGCUGGAAGAAUCUGGACUGUCUGGCCAUUGGGGGCCGGGAAUAAUAUCCUUGGAUGAUAGAUACCUGGGAGGCUGGAGAAGCCUAGGACCCCCGUCAGAUAGCCAAUCCAAAUGAGCACAACCUGUCACAAAUUUAAAGCUGCCUCCUGACAAAGACUUUCAUGUGGAGGGUUCCCUACACCCUGAGGCAAUUCAGGUGACUGGGUUCUGAACAGAAUUUCACAGGCUUGGAGGAUCCCCUGUAGCCCUAGUCCUGCUGAUGAGGCGUGGACUGCAUGUGCCCACUGCGUGGGUCAGGAUAGCCUGGAACGAGGCAAUGUUGAAGGAAGCCAGGUCACAGGAUGGGGCUAUUCAGAGUAUGAGUCAGCAGCCUAAUAUGCAGGGCCUACGAGCCCAUACGGAGUUUUCCCCACAAGGCAGAGCUGAAGGUUUUCCAUCUGCUUUUCCAGGGAGGGAACACUGGCAGGACAGGAUAUCCUCCAUUUAGACGUAUCUGGGAGUCCUGGUCCCUAGAGAAGCCUAGGACACCAUUGGCUGCAAGUUCACAUGGGAACCAUUGCCCAUUUGCAGCUUUCACUCAGGGUGAUUUUUGAAAGGUGGGCUCCCUCCAUGCUAAAAGCUAUGAGGGUGAUUGGAGCCUGGCGGGAGUUUGACAAGUUUAGAGAGCUGCGUCUGCCCAAGUCCAGCUUCUGGGUGCAUAAUGCACAUGUACAGGCUACACAGGUAAAGCCAGGGACAUGGAAGAGGGCAAUGUUGGGCAAGACCCAGUCACCUGAGGGGGCUUUGGAGGUAACGGACAUGUACCUAAUCCCAAACUUUCACCUACACAAAUAGACGUUCUCACUGAAGGCAGAUCUGGAGUAAUCUGGAGUGCCUGAUCAGGUUUAAUCAGCGGUCUGGCUAGAGUAUCCUCUAAUAAGGACACCUGGCAACCUUGAUUACUGCAGAAGUCCCAGAACCCAGCCGACACUAAGUCUUCAUGGGCUCUGCCCAGCUCCCAUUUCAGAGGCUGUUCAGGGUGUUGGGUCCCUGCACCUUGAGACUGUGCAGGUGGUUGGGGAUGGGUCUCAGCUCCAAAGGCCUGGUGGCCCCAGCUGCUGAAGGACAGCUAAUGGGGUACAUACUCCUCAUGAUGUGGGCUGUGCAGGUUAAUGUAGCCGUGGACCCGAGAAAAGGUGAGUGUCUUUUAAGGCCAGGUCACAAGACCAGACUAUUAGAAGUACCAGGCAUCUGUCUAAUUAUAAGGCUCCACCUAACAAAUGUGUAUUUUCCCCUUUAAGCAGAGCUGGAGAAAUCUGGACGGCCUUACUAGGACCAGCUGGAAUGCUCCCUUAUAAGACACAGCUGGGAUCCUUAAUUGCUGGACAAGUCAGCUCCCUAUCAGACAGUUCGAACGGGGCCUGACAGUUCCCAGUUUAACUUAGGGCUUCAGAAAAAUUUGGGGGGGGGUGUGGGCUCUCUCCACCCUGAAGGCUAGCAGGUGAUAGACAACUGGUUCGAACCUCACAGGCCUGGAGGAUUCCAACAGCCAAAAGCUGGCAGACGGUGUGGAAUGUACAUUACAGCUGGCGGGUCAUGAUUGCCAGCGUCCCGGAACAGAGCAUAUCAGGUAGAGCUAGAUGUUUUCAACUGCCUUGCCCGGGUGGGGACCUGCCAGCAAGACAGCUUACCUUUCAUUUGGAGACACCUUGAAGUCCUGGUCCCUAGAGAAGCCCAGGACCCCAUCAGGCACAUAGUUGGCAGGAUAAACUUUCCUAGCGGGAUACUGCUGAAGCUGAGAAAUCCUGGGACAUCUGACAAAAAGCCAGCAAAAGGCCACCUAGAAGAACCUCGAAGGGUAGAAUAAAAGUUUUCCUUUCCAACAUUUGGCAUAGUCAGUAGGAUACACUUCCCUCACUGGACACUGUUUGCUUUGAGGCUCUUGAAGCUGACACAUCCUGGAACAUCUGACAAACAGCCAGCAGAAGAUAUAAGAAAGCCUUUCCUCUUAAACUAAAUAUGACUCACAGCAAUUUGGUAAAUUGUACCUUUGUAAGUAGAAUUGCAACAUCUAUCUUUCUCCCCUACCUGAUCUCUCCAGAAUUUGGAAUCUCUCAGUGAGCAUUCUUAUGGUUUCAUAGAAAUAUUUGCCUAAGAUCAAUAAGAAUCUUUUCUCUUUGUGACAAGACACAGUUGGAAACAUUGGUUAUAUUACCAAGGCUUUGACUGAAAUGUCAUAUUUGAGACAAACAUGCAUAGACUCAGAUUUAUGAGUCUAUGCUUUAUGGAACUAAGGAUGACUUAAUGGAGCCAAUAAAUCCCCCUAGGAAUAUCAGCCUGCUAUCUUGCUUACAAGGAUCUCAGCAGCCUUACCAGAAAUGCCUCUUAUUUAAUACCUGCUUGAACCAUGAGCCUAACUUUGGGAACACACACACAUCACCACUUCCUGAAAUGAAUUUAGUAGAACUGACCUAUUUUCAACUCUAAGAGACUAGCUCAGUGAGAUAAAACAAUCUACCAGCUCACAUUUUAGUAUGUGGAGUUUCUAAGGAACUCUAGGGGCCCAGGCCAGGCCACCCUAAAAUAUGCCACUUUGUCAUGUUAUUUUGAAUGAAAGCUGUUUAAGAACAGAAGAACAUUCUGACUCUCUUUGUCUCCAGAUAGCAGGAAAUAAAUCUCCAAUGUGAAAGCUAUCCUUCCUGCAUCAGGGAGCAGAAAGACAUCCUCAUCACCUGAAAUAGGUAUUUAGAGCCAAGAAGACUGUAUAACUUUUACUAGUUUACUUUUACUAGUUUACUACCUCAGCCCAAAUUCUGUUUAGAAUUGUAUGCUAAUUAAAGCCAAUGAACAUAAGUUUUCUCUGCUUUGUCCAUUCCUCACAGAUUUAUGGUUCUUUGCCUAAACAUACAACAGCUGCUUGCUUUGGUCAUGUGGGGAGUCUCAAUUUCAUUAUUGGACAUCUGUGUAUACAAAAUAAAAAUUUUUUUCUUGUGUUAA